rfam:Clostridium roseum strain DSM 7320 CROST_contig000002, whole genome shotgun sequence.
UCCACCGUGAGGUGGAAUCUGAAGGAAGUCGACGGCAAAACUCUGGUCUGACGUACAGAAACUACAUAUAAGGCAGUGCUUGUGGGUAAGGUUGCAAUACAAAUCAAAGCCCAAAACUAUCCGAAAACAAGCUCUGUAAAUGUAGCAGAUAGAUGGAGUGAAAGAUUGCGCU